rnacentral:rRNA from 1 species
CCUACGGGUGGCAGCAGUGGGGAAUAUUGGGCAAUGGGCGCAAGCCUGACCCAGCAACGCCGCGUGAAGGAAGAAGGCUUUCGGGUUGUAAACUUCUUUUCUCAGGGACGAAGCAAGUGACGGUACCUGAGGAAUAAGCCACGGCUAACUACGUGCCAGCAGCCGCGGUAAUACGUUGGUGGCAAGCGUUAUCCGGAUUUACGUGCGGUAAAGGACGUGUAGGCGGGACUGCAAGUCAGAUGUGAAAACCACGGGCUCAAACUGUGGCCUGCAUUUGAAACUGUAGUUCUUGAGGACUGGAGAGGCAGACGGAAUUCCUAGUGUAGCGGUGAAAUGCGUAGAUAUUAGGAGGAACACCAGUGGCGAAGGCGGUAUGCUGGACAGCAACUGACGCUGAGGCGCGAAAGCGUGGGGAGCAAACAGGAUUAGAUACCCCUGUAGUC